rnacentral:rRNA from 1 species
GACGAACGCUGGCGGCGUGCUUAACACAUGCAAGUCGAACGAUGAAGCUAGAGCUUGCUCUGGUGAAUUAGUGGCGAACGGGUGAGUAGCACGUGAGUAACCUGCCCCGAACUCUGGGAUAACUGCUGGAAACGGUAGCUAAUACUGGAUACGACCUACGAAGGCAUCUUCUGUAGGUGGAAAGAAUUUCGGUUCGGGAUGGACUCGCGGCCUAUCAGCUUGUUGGUGAGGUAAUGGCUCACCAAGGCGACGACGGGUAGCCGGCCUGAGAGGGUGACCGGCCACACUGGGACUGAGACACGGCCCAGACUCCUACGGGAGGCAGCAGUGGGGAAUAUUGCACAAUGGGCGCAAGCCUGAUGCAGCAACGCCGCGUGAGGGAUGACGGCCUUCGGGUUGUAAACCUCUUUUAGUAGGGAAGAAGCGGAAGUGACGGUACCUGCAGAAAAAGCACCGGCUAACUCCGUGCCAGCCGCCGCAGUAA